CUUCAGAAAAGAUAAAUGGGUCAAAGUCGUAGGUCAAGGUCAUGUUACAGAAAACUGAACUCAAACUUUUCAAGUUCCUACGACCACGGGAACUGGUAGAGGUACGAAAGUGCAAUAGCGCCGAGCUAUGGUUGCCACUUAGCAUUUAGUGUUUAUGCCGGCCGACUAACGGUUCAAGAUAUUUCUUCGGUCCGGUGACGUCAAUAUGUUUCUGUCCAUUUCCAUUCGUUUAUUGGUCACGUGACCAUUUUUGGAGAGUUCGGAUCGUCCAACCUCUCCAAUUUUUCGACCGGUGCGAUUGCGGAGAGUGACGUAACAAGAUGGCGGCAAGCAACAUGUGUGAUAGUGCUCCAGGCAUUGCUUUAAAAACAGUGCAUCUAAAAAUUGGGGAACAGUUGGUAAAAUUUGAAGUUGGCCUAGAUGUUUUUGAUGCUGUGGUUCUUCGUAAAGAUGAAAAUGUUAUUAGACAGCUGGUAAUUAAUUACAACCAAUUUGCAAAGACAAAUGGAGGGAAUAAUAAUGCAGAAGCUCUUUUGGGUACAUCAGCUUGCUCUUCUGAGACUGUUGCAUGUAAUUCUAAGACACCGGUACUUGAUGCUAAUACCCCAGUACUGUCUAAAACCAGCUGUGCUUCUACUGCAUCUGAAACCAUACCUAGUUCGCGGUCAGCAGUAGUUGGAAGUGGUAACUCUGAUGGUGAAGGUCUUGCAGCACAUUGGACCAAAGCCAAUACAUUACAUCUUAUCGACUUGUAUAACAAGUAUAUCGAUAAAGUUAACAGUGGGAAAAUGCGUAAAGUGAUUCUAUGGAAGAAAAUAGCCACUGACAUUGGUAAUUUUACUGGAGAGUAAGUUAGAGGACGCUGGAAGACAAUAACAAGCGGCUAUAAACGGGUUAAAGACCAGAAGAAUAAAUCUGGAAAUGGCCGUGUGACUGAUUAUGAGUAUGAAAAAGAACUGGAUGAAACUUUCGGUGAAUCAGCAGCUAACAUAAAUCCAAUUACACUGUCAACUAUGGAUGAAGAAACAUCUGCUAUUAUGGAGGAAUCAGAUACAGAAGAUUCAUUUAUUUCCAUUCCAGAGGCCCCGAACAAAAGACCUGCCGAGAAACAUAAUUCUGAUACAGCACCAAGAAGCGUAAUUCGACCUCAGCAGCCGAGGUCAUAUCAUAUUUGCAAACCAUGGACGAGAAGGAUGAAGAAAGACAAGAACGUGAACUUCAAGCCACACAGAAAAUGCACACUGAAAAAAUGGAUUUGUUGAAAUCCAUUGUCGGAAUACUGGCAAAAAAGUGAACAUUUUUAGUUUCUAGUCAGUAGUUCAAAGUUUCUGAUUGAACACUUAAAAAUGCACAAAUAGUGUCAUCUGUGAUUUUUGUUUUAUUUUGUUUUAUUUGUUUUAUUUUGUUUUAAAUUUUUUGUUAAUACUCAUUUUACUUGUUCAUAUUUUAUUUUUUUAUAGAGUAAUUGAGAACUUACUCUUUGUAUUCAAAAGACGCCAAUUAAGAUA